GCUUUUACCCUUCGGUAAUGGGGGUAGUGACAGUCCGAAGGAAUAUGCCAUUCUCCCAUUCCCGCAAUUUAGUGAAAUUAGAAUUUGGAUUUCGCUCUUCCAUUCUCGCAAUCUUUGUGAAACCAUCUCCCCCAAAAACCUCUCUCAACCCUAAUCUCCCUCUCUCAGUCAACGGUGGCCAUUUUUUCGCACUUCCCCCUAGCCUUUACGACAUUCUACCUUUUGUGAUUUCAUCCACUCCUCAAUCGUGGAAGGAAAUUGACCCUAAGGAAGUUGGUUGGUGAGGUGAGGGUUUACAUUGUCGCUGGAAGGGGUUUCGUGACGGUGGUGUGGCAGCUUGAGGAGGGUGCUACGGCGGCCUGAGUAGGGUUUGCACUAUCGCGACGCCGCCAAUCGAAGGGGUGCGUGACGAGAUCGUUGUUGCUGCGUGAGGAGGGGUUGAGGCACAGUUGUUGAAGGGCUGCAGUUGAAGUGAAGUGUCCAAGAUUUCAUCAUUUCCAGGAUGUGGAUGGUUUACGCUGCCAAGGACAUAGGUACUACACACCAUAGCUUAUGCCCUGUAACACUUUCAUACUCUUUAACAUACUGGAAAAUUAGAGUAUGCUCUGUUGGGUUAUAAUGAUUGGUUGGGUCUAAAGUGAACUUAAAGGUUUAAUUAGGUUAUGGGAGCUUGUAGACUAGAAUUGUGUUCAGAAAAUUACUUAGUCAUACAAACGUGGAACCUUAAAUAGUUUCUGACCCUCUGUUUUGAAUUCAAGCCCAAGUUAAAAUAACUAUUAAUGUAGUUAUCCAACUCCACUUCUAUGUAUGUAUAAUUCACGAAUAAUUUAACACCCAAACAGGUUUGAAUUGGCCAAAAUUAGUUUGAUGCAUACAUAUAAAGUGUAAGAAAACAGAG